rnacentral:rRNA from 1 species
UACGUAGGGGGCGAGCGUUAUCCGGAUUCAUUGGGCGUAAAGCGCGCGUAGGCGGCCGCCUAAGCGGAACCUCUAACCCCGGGGCUCAACCUCGGGCCGGGUUCCGGACUGGGCGGCUCGAGUGCGGUGGAGGAGAGCGGAAUUCCCGGUGUAGCGGUGGAAUGCGCAGAUACCGGGAAGAACACCGAUGGCGAAGGCAGCUCUCUGGGCCGUCACUGACGCUGAGGCGCGAAAGCUGGGGGAGCGAACAGG